rnacentral:rRNA from 1 species
UAAGCGGAGGAAAAGAAACCAACAGGGAUUGCCUUAGUAACGGCGAGUGAAGCGGCAAAAGCUCAAAUUUGAAAUCUGGCGCCUUCGGUGUCCGAGUUGUAAUUUGAAGAAGGUAACUUUGGAGUUGGCUCUUGUCUAUGUUCCUUGGAACAGGACGUCACAGAGGGUGAGAAUCCCGUGCGAUGAGAUGCCCAACUCCAUGUAAAGUGCUUUCGAAGAGUCGAGUUGUUUGGGAAUGCAGCUCUAAGUGGGUGGUAAAUUCCAUCUAAAGCUAAAUAUUGGCGAGAGACCGAUAGCGAACAAGUACAGUGAUGGAAAGAUGAAAAGAACUUUGAAAAGAGAGUGAAAAAGUACGUGAAAUUGUUGAAAGGGAAGGGCUUGAGAUCAGACUUGGUAUUUUGCGAUCCCUUCCUUCUUGGUUGGGUUCCUCGCAGCUUACUGGGCCAGCAUCGGUUUGGAUGGUAGGAUAAUGAUUAAGGAAUGUGGCUCUACUUCGGUGGAGUGUUAUAGCCUUGGUUGAUACUGCCUGUCUAGACCGAGGACUGCGUCUUUUGACUAGGAUGCUGGCAUAAUGAUCUUAAGCCACCCGUCUUGAAACACG